CCUUCAUUCGAAUUUCCUCCACCUUCCUGCCCCCUCCGCCUCUUCCUCUUCGCCUUCGGUCAUCCAAUCGGGGCCUUAAUGGCGGUGGAGAUUCGGAAGGUCUCUGGAUCCGUGCUUCAUCGCUCCGGAGGAUCCUGCUCCAGCCGCCGCUGCCCGGACCUCCAGAAAGAUCGCCCGCUCUCAGCCAUCUCAACCUCAUUCUCAUCUACGUCUUCGUGCAGAUCCAAUCGCGGCCUUAGUGGCGGUGGUUCUGCAGAAGGUCUUCGGAUCGGUGCUCCAUCGCUCCGGAUCCUGCUCCAUUGUCCUGCGGAAGGUCUUUGGAUCGAUGCUCCAUCUCUCCGGAUCCAACUCCGGCGGCCGGUGCCUGGACCAUAUGAAUGACCACCCGCCCCUAGGCGAUCUCAACCUCAUUCCCACCGACGCCUUUGUGCAGAUCCAUUCACAGCCUUAAUGGCGGUGGUGCUGCUGAAGGUCUUCGGAUCUGUGCUCCAUCUAGAGCUGCGGAAGGUUCCUCACAAAUAUUACUGCUAAGGCUGGAAAUCAAAUGCAAUUCACAUGAAUCUAUUAUAUGUGUCUCAUUGGUAUAACGUCAUACAAGUCUACGCCCCCCAAACUUUUGUGCUGUUUCAAGGAUUAAGACACUCUGCUAUGUGGCUGCUGACUGAGGCAGAGCUACAGCCUACAGAAGGUUACUGAAGCUUCAUGUUAAAAUAGGGAUCACUUUUUCGAAAGAGCAGUUUAAAAAUAGGGAAAUCGUUUUCCAAACAUUACAGGCGCGCUGUAAGUUUUUGUUUUUGUCAUCUUUUAACUUGAUAAAUUAACUUUACAGUGAUCAUUCUUCUUGCAAGAUUUGAAUUCCAUUGUAGGCUCAAUGCAGAUUAAUCAAAAUAAAAAAACGCCGCUGAAAGCUUUUUCCCUUCUUUGCCUUCUGAUUGCUUAGAAAAUGCAACACCGCACUAAGCCCUGGGGUUAGGAGUAUUAUUAGGUAAAAUUGAUAAAGGGAAUAAAAUAUUACAACCAUUUCACCUUUUUCCCUCUUCC